ACUUCCCCACCCCCUAUAUCGUCUCUCAGAAUUCACCCCUAACCAGAAACCCUGGAUGAGCCGCCCUAAUUCCCCACCGGCUUCGGUGGCGGCACUGUCGUAGACCGGCCCCAAAUUAACACCCUGAACUUCCCUCGUCUCCAUCUUUCUAAAAAUACCUUCAGGCCCUCGAAUCAGUGCCCACAUCUUCAAAUUUUCAUUUGAAAUUCAUGACCCAAAACCCUAAGUUCUUCAAACCCACCCAAAUUUGUACCGUACAACCCCUAGGCCAUUUUAAGCCUCAUUCUCGUGGUUGCUGCACAAGAAUCCCAACUGAAAUCCUUCAAUUUCACAUCUAGGAUUCAAAUUCUCUGGGCCAUGGCCAAAGUCAUUUGGACAGGCAUUUUUUUCCGUAUCACUGGUCCACACGGGAUCGUUUGAAUCUAAUAGUGAGUUUCCCCCUAUUCUUCUUUUGUUUUGCCUCUUUCUUCUUCUUCUGCUCUUUUCCUUUUGCUUCUUGUGAUUUGGUCUGGCUUUGUUAAUUGUUGUUAAUUGGUUUAGUUGUUCAUUGAAUAGAGCUUUUUUGUUUAUUUCUGUUUUAUUCUUAAUUUUGGGUUUUUGUAUGUGUUUCAAUAAUGGUUUCGUAAUUUAAUUCUGUUUCAUUUUGUUUGAUCUUGCAUUGGUAAUUUAGAUUCUAGUUUAAUUUUGUUUUGAAUCUAUUUCUAUCUGUCUUUGAUUCAUUAAUCGAUCCUGUUUGAAGCCCUGUUUGAAUUUCAAUUCCUUAUAAUUGUUGCUAGCUAGUGUUAAGUCAGUUUAAUUGCUAAUUGUCUUUAAUAAAUCCAUGGUUUGGUAUUUAGUUUCAAAUAAUCCUUAGGCUUAAUUUAGUUAACACUAGAUAAAUAAUUGUUUGGAUAUAGCUGUACUAGGUUAGUAAUUUCAAAUGAGUUCAAGGACAUUUUGGGUAACUAGCACUGGACAGGAAUGAUGUAGGUUUAGUUAGAAUGACCUAGAUCCUUCUAGAAUAGGGUUCAUUUUAGAAAUUCAGAAAAGGUAGUAAGAUAACUUGAAUAACAAGCUAAUAGUUUAGGGACCUUUAAGCAAAAAUGAAAAUUGGCAAAUGGUAUAGUAAAAAAACUGAAAAUCUGAUUAAGAAUCCUCAGUUUCGCCUAUAAAAAGGCAUCACCAAUGCCUUAGGCAACAAGUUUAGAACCCCUUAUAGUUCCCCCCAAAAAUAUUCUCCCAGUUUUCCAGAUCUGAAACCUGAAGUUCAAAAACUCAAAAACCAAAAAAUAAAAAAAAAUCAUUACAUUAUUUUUCCUUUACAUGAUUUUCGAAUUUCAGCUUUUAAAUCAACAUUCUAGUUUAGCUAAGAUCCAAAAUUACGUGAUUUUUCUAUUACUGUUCGAUAAUCUGAGGUGUGAAGGAAGUUCGAGUCAUCUAGGCAUUGGAUUUGGUUAGUUCGAGUCAAUUGUGGGUUAACUUAAUGGGUGUACUGAUUUCCUAGAUUCAUUUCUGAGCAUUUUGGUAUUGUUUUGGGCUUUUCUGUUGAUCCUAAUUGGUUUUUAAAACGAUCCUGAACUUUAAACUUGUUGCUGAACUGCUGCUGAGAGUCGUUAUUGUUGCUGAUCUCUGCUUCUUCAUUGUAUUUCCAUUUUCAGGUACAUAGUCGAACCUAGUGUUGAUGUAGCUUUGAAGUUGAAAUGCUGAAAUGAAAUGCUCAUCCAUUUGCUUCCUGGAAUCUGUGUGUUCAAGCUGUCAUAGUAGAAUAAAUAAUAGAUAUUUUGUAUUUGUUUAGGUUUACUUUUGAUUUGUGUUGUAAUACUGAACUGACUGAACUGCACUAUACUGUUAGACUAGCGAUCACUCAUUGGACAUGUUAUAAUUUUGUUUCAUUUUGUGUAGUGUGAUAACUGGAACAAGAAAUGGAUUUCUAGAUCUAUGAUCAACAUUUGUUUUAAUAAUUGGAAGAGAGAAGAAAAUUAGUGUACAUGUCUCGUUCCUGCUAAUUUAAAAUCAUGAACCAGAAGCAGUUAAGGUGUAGUAGUCUCAAAAAUACCCCAAUCAUUGUGAAACCGGUUCAUAAGUCUUGUUAAAUGGUAAAUUGUUCAAAGGUUC
rnacentral:lncRNA from 1 species